rnacentral:lncRNA from 1 species
CUGUGUCAUUUCAAGCAUGCUUUUUCUCUCUCUAUUGUGUACAAAGCUUCGAUUGACUUUAGCAUCGAAGGUUCUUUCAUCUGAGCACCCCUCUUCAAUACGAAUGAACUUUUGUAGGUCUUCCGCAGCGUCUUGGAGGCCCAAACUGAUGCACCUCCAUCACCAUAUCAGCUUUGAUGCAAUAGAAAGUGACAUGGCUAGACUUGAAGGUGUAGUA